rnacentral:rRNA from 1 species
CUAAUGUUGAAAAAUUAGCGGAUGACCUGUGGCUGGGGGUGAAAGGCCAAUCAAACCGGGAGAUAGCUGGUUCUCCCCGAAAGCUAUUUAGGUAGCGCCUCGUGAAUUCAUCUCCGGGGGUAGAGCACUGUUUCGGCUAGGGGGCCAUCCCGGCUUACCAACCCGAUGCAAACUGCGAAUACCGGAGAAUGUUAUCACGGGAGACACACGGCGGGUGCUAACGUCCGUCGUGAAGAGGGAAACAACCCAGACCGCCAGCUAAGGUCCCAAAGUCAUGGUUAAGUGGGAAACGAUGUGGGAAGGCCCAGACAGCCAGGAUGUUGGCUUAGAAGCAGCCAUCAUUUAAAGAAAGCGUAAUAGCUCACUGGUCGAGUCGGCCUGCGCGGAAGAUGUAACGGGGCUAAACCAUGCACCGAAGCUGCGGCAGCGACACUCAGGUGUUGUUGGGUAGGGGAGCGUUCUGUAAGCCUGUGAAGGUGGCCUGUGAGGGUUGCUGGAGGUAUCAGAAGUGCGAAUGCUGACAUAAGUAACGAUAAAGCGGGUGAAAAGCCCGCUCGCCGGAAGACCAAGGGUUCCUGUCCAACGUUAAUCGGGGCAGGGUGAGUCGACCCCUAAGGCGAGGCCGAAAGGCGUAGUCGAUGGGAAACGGGUUAAUAUUCCCGUACUUGGUGUUACUGCGAAGGGGGGACGGAGAAGGCUAUGUUGGCCGGGCGACGGUUGUCCCGGUUUAAGCGUGUAGGUGUGUGUUCCAGGUAAAUCCGGUUCACUUUAACACUGAGGCGUGAUGACGAGGCGCUACGGUGCUGAAGCAACAAAUGCCCUGCUUCCAGGAAAAGCCUCUAAGCAUCAGGUAACAUCAAAUCGUACCCCAAACCGACACAGGUGGUCAGGUAGAGAAUACCAAGGCGCUUGAGAGAACUCGGGUGAAGGAACUAGGCAAAAUGGUGCCGUAACUUCGGGAGAAGGCACGCUGACACGUAGGUGAAGUGAUUUACUCAUGGAGCUGAAGUCAGUCGAAGAUACCAGCUGGCUGCAACUGUUUAUUAAAAACACAGCACUGUGCAAACACGAAAGUGGACGUAUACGGUGUGACGCCUGCCCGGUGCCGGAAGGUUAAUUGAUGGGGUCAGCGCAAGCGAAGCUCCUGAUCGAAGCCCCGGUAAACGGCGGCCGUAACUAUAACGGUCCUAAGGUAGCGAAAUUCCUUGUCGGGUAAGUUCCGACCUGCACGAAUGGCGUAAUGAUGGCCAGGCUGUCUCCACCCGAGACUCAGUGAAAUUGAACUCGCUGUGAAGAUGCAGUGUACCCGCGGCAAGACGGAAAGACCCCGUGAACCUUUACUAUAGCUUGACACUGAACAUUGAGCCUUGAUGUGUAGGAUAGGUGGGAGGCUUUGAAGUGUGGACGCCAGUCUGCAUGGAGCCGACCUUGAAAUACCACCCUUUAAUGUUUGAUGUUCUAACGUGGACCCGUGAUCCGGGUUGCGGACAGUGUCUGGUGGGUAGUUUGACUGGGGCGGUCUCCUCCUAAAGAGUAACGGAGGAGCACGAAGGUUGGCUAAUCCUGGUCGGACAUCAGGAGGUUAGUGCAAUGGCAUAAGCCAGCUUGACUGCGAGCGUGACGGCGCGAGCAGGUGCGAAAGCAGGUCAUAGUGAUCCGGUGGUUCUGAAUGGAAGGGCCAUCGCUCAACGGAUAAAAGGUACUCCGGGGAUAACAGGCUGAUACCGCCCAAGAGUUCAUAUCGACGGCGGUGUUUGGCACCUCGAUGUCGGCUCAUCACAUCCUGGGGCUGAAGUAGGUCCCAAGGGUAUGGCUGUUCGCCAUUUAAAGUGGUACGCGAGCUGGGUUUAGAACGUCGUGAGACAGUUCGGUCCCUAUCUGCCGUGGGCGCUGGAGAACUGAGGGGGGCUGCUCCUAGUACGAGAGGACCGGAGUGGACGCAUCACUGGUGUUCGGGUUGUCAUGCCAAUGGCACUGCCCGGUAGCUAAAUGCGGAAGAGAUAAGUGCUGAAAGCAUCUAAGCACGAAACUUGCCCCGA